rnacentral:sRNA from 1 species
UUUCCCUGCUGGGGUCCUGUAUUCUCUUUUCUUAUUGCCUGCUGGGUUUUUAUUUUUUCUUCUAGAAGAGUUGAGAAUGUGUCACCACGUAAAGCAAACCUUCGAAACAGCUAAAGAGGAACUGAUCUCACUUGUAAGUUUUUCUGAAUCCAACGGGAAAGGCCCAUGGAAACGGGUCUCCUUCGGGAGAUUUUCUCAGCAGUGAAAUUGAAGACAAUAAUUCAAGCCUGUGCUUCCCUUCUGAAGCAAGCCACAUGGGUACAGUAACUGAACUGGCUGUGGCAGGUGUGAGCUUCGUGUUGGAGAUGAAAUUCCGCCAGUGUAGCAGGUGGGUAAAGUGUUUGAGGAAAAAAGAGAUUUAUGCAAGUAUCUUAAGUCAUUGAAGUACUUGCCUACUUAGGAGAAAGCUUAAGAAGACGGAUGACACUGAUGGGCUGCUCUUAGUUACUGUUGCUCUAAUAAAGCACCACAACAUAACGUGAUAUGUGGAAGAGUUUAUUUUACCUUACGAUUCCAGAAGGGGAGUCUAAUGGCAGGGGAGGCAUGGCAGCAGGCAGCCAGGACCGGAAGCUGAAAAACUCACAUCUUCAACCACAAACAUGAAGCAGAGAGAACGAACUGGUGGUGAGAUGAAGCGGUAAUCUUCAAAGCCCACCUUCGGUGACUUCUUCCUCCAGCAAGGCUACACUUGCUAAAGGGUCAACAAACUCUCCAAGCAGAGCCACCAUUGCACUGAAACCCCCACAGGCAUAUACAGCAAACUCAGACGAUCCAAUCCCAAUUCUGACACAUUAUAACUGCGUUGGCAAACGUACUGUGUGUCAUUUUCUCCAUCUACAAAAUGGAAUCAUAGUAACUUGUUCUUAAAUUUUGGGACAAAGAUCAAAUAUGUUAAAUAAUAGAAGAACCAACUGUGUCAAGCAUGUUACAAGUGCCUGAUUAAAACUGAUUGGCUCAGGGGAAAGCCACCUGACUCCUCCCAUCGUAUCUAGAGAACUAGAAAAGUCCCAAGGCUUGAGGCUGUGGAGUAUGAGAUGAAUACCUUGUCACUGGAGGAGCUGCAAGACAGAAAACAGUGCCACCCGUGGUCUGUGGAAAGCACAGGACAAGCUUGUGAAGGAAAGGUUCUUCUUGUCAGAAUAAAACUCCAGCCAGGAAGAGCAGUGCACACCUGUGGUCCCAGCACUGAGGAGGCUGAGGCAGGAGGAUCACAAAUCUAACCUGAGUCA